AAACCAACAGGGAUUGCCUCAGUAACGGCGAGUGAAGCGGCAAAAGCUCAAAUUUGAAAUCCCCCGGGAAUUGUAAUUUGAAGGUGGUCUCAGUUAGUUCAAACAUUCUUAAGUCCAUUGGAAAAUGGCGCCAUGGAGGGUGAUAGCCCCGUAAAGAACCNGUUUGCUCUAUUUUCUUGGACCACCAAAGAGUCGAGUUGUUUGGGAAUGCAGCUCUAAGUGGGUGGUAAAUUCCAUCUAAAGCUAAAUAUUGGCGAGAGACCGAUAGCGAACAAGUACAGUGAUGGAAAGAUGAAAAGCACUUUGAAAAGAGAGUGAAAAAGUACGUGAAAUUGUUGAAAGGGAAGGGCUUGCAAGCAGACACAACCUUUUGGUUGGGCCAGCAUCGGGGCGAGAGGAAGUAAAAAAGGAAAGGAAAUGUAGCUCUCGAGUAUUAUAGACCUUCCCCAUUCCUUCCAUCUCAUCCCGAGGCCUGCGGAUUCAUCCUAGGAUGCUGGCGUAAUGGUUGCAAGUCGC
rnacentral:rRNA from 1 species